GUGUCAGCCGCCGCGGUAAGACGAAGGUGGCAAGCGUUGUUCGGAAUCACUGGGCUUAAAGCGCACGUAGGCGGCUCGAUAAGUGUCUUGUGAAAUCCCUCGGCUCAACCGAGGAAUUGCUGGGCAUACUGUCGAGCUUGAGGCAGGUAUGGGCGAGUGGAACUCUUGGUGGAGCGGUGGAAUGCGUAGAUAUCAAGAGGAACGCCGGUGGUGAAGACGAUUCGCUGGGCCUGUCCUGACGCUGAGGUGCGAAAGCCAGGGGAGCAAACGGGAUUAGAUACCCGCGUAGUCC
rnacentral:rRNA from 1 species